rnacentral:rRNA from 1 species
UACGAGUGCUCCAAGCGUUAUCCGGAAUUAUUGGGCGUAAAGGGUGUGUAGGUGGUUGUGUUAGUCUUUUGUCAAAGCCUUCGGCUUAACCGAAGAUCUGCAAAAGAAACGGCACGACUAGAGGAUGCGAGAGGUGAAUGGAACUCAUGGAGUAGGGGUGAAAUCCGUUGAUAUCAUGAGGAACACCAAAUGCGAAGGCAAUUCACUGGCGCACUCCUGACACUGAGACACGAAAGCGUAGGUAGCGAAUGGG